CAAGCCGACCAAAUGGAACUGAGAUAAGAUAAACAUUGCUUUUUCCGACCCAAACCCUAUGUUUUAUAAAUAAGGAAGAUGAGAGAUUGACAAGAACAGCAAGAUUGACGCCUUUAUAUAGAUUUUAAAUCGUCGAUGUAACUUAAUUGGUGUAUAGGAUAGCGGGAACUACUGUGGGACGCGUGGGAGGCUCAUACCACAAUAUAAAUGGAACAUAAAUCUACAGUUACUUGGAACAUCAAUAGCUGGUUCAUUAAAAAGGAGGAACUAUAAGAAAGGAGAUCGAGUGGAGUCCGGCCACACUCGGCGCGAGGUGCCGAGGUGUCGCAACCCCGGCGUCUGCUGCUCAACUAUUCGAACCAGCUGACGCGACAUGGCGCCCGCGUCGGCAAACCUUUCAUGCUGCACUAUCGACUGCGCCGAUGAAUGAGGUUGCAUAUU
rnacentral:lncRNA from 1 species